GGAGGGUUGCUCCUGAAGUUUUCGCCGGAGCGGCCAGGAAGUCGAUCGAGGUAUGCUCACCUUCUGGGUUUGAUUCCAAUUUUUUCUUUGAAUUGCAUUCGCUUGACACGCUCUUUGUCCAGGCGAUCGCCGAAUGGGAUCGUUUGACUUAUUUGUACGAGCGUUGUGUUCGGAGCCUUUCCGUAGAGGCUACUAACGCGAAAGAUGCCCAUGAGGCUUUGGCCGUUGAAAAGGAAAAAGUAGCUCAGGCGCUGGCCGACCUGGCAAGGUCUCAAGACGACGCCAAGGAGAUGAAGAGGAAAUAUGACGAGUUAGCUGGUCGCGCUCUUUCGGAGAUGAAGAGGCUUCGAGAACGUCGACUUGAAUAUGCUGAAUUUGUCCGGAGAUCGGCCCUUGAUAAGAUGGCGGAGCUCGUUCAGAAGCGAUUGGAUCGUAUUAAAGCUCAUAUUGACGAUACGAAGGCGGCAGAACCAAAGUUUCUUGAAUUCAACCAAGUAUCUGGGAAUAUCAAGACUCUCGAGGCGUUGGUCGAAGGUGGCGAAGUGGAGAUGAAGUCGGAUGACA
rnacentral:sRNA from 1 species